UCUAUCAACCCACCUAUCCCACAACACUAUCAAUCCCUCAUUUUCCUCUCUUCACUCCCAAAUCCAGCCCCUGACCACCACCCAGAACUUGUUCUCAGACUGCAUUGUCUGACCAUGUAUAUAUCUUGGCUCAUUUUUUAUCGCAUCAGUCGUGCUUGAAAUGGAGUGAAGCUUUAUAAAGCGAUGCUGUUCUUUGUUCUCUAUUCUCUCUUUCCUCUCUUUCUCUUUCUACCCACCCAUCCCAUUCCGGUGUCAUUCAAAGCCACACACAGUUAUGUUCGGCUGUGCAUAGUGGUGCAGCGAAGGGAAAUUUCUAUUUAUGUUGUUUUGCUAGAGUCAGAGUCAUUCAUCGGGAUAAAUUAUGGCCAAGUAACAGACAACCUCCCGUCGUCGGCGAAGACUGUCAAGUUGUUGCAAUCAACGACAAUAGAUAAGUCUUUAUUGAGACAGUUAGAAACUCCAUCCUCUGGGAGCUUUAUACUAACAAUCCGAGCUGCGUGGGUUUCAAUUUUGGAAUGUCAAUAGUGGAUGUGAUUAGUGAUAGUUGUGGUGAUUGGGGUGGUUAAUGAUAGAGGUAGCGAUUGUUUCCUAUUUUUUGUGUUUGUUAUUUGUCUUGUUUGGAUAUCAUAUUUGUUGUGGGUCGUUUGUUGGUAGUUUUUGUGUAUAGUAUUCUUAUUCGAUGCACUAUAGGUGUUGGCGGUGACGAUGGUUGUGGUGCUGGUUUUAGGUUGGGUUGAGGUUGCUGUUGUAUAAAGAAGCUUUGUGACUAAAUAAUUAGGUUAAUUUGUGAGAUGUAGUAUGUAAUCAAUAAAAUAGAUAAUUUGUAAACAAUAAAUAAUAUGUGACCUUAAAAAGUGAGAUAGUGAUUAAAUUUGUAAUCGUGACUCACAUUUUGUUCACGAGUCAGAGGUUGU
rnacentral:lncRNA from 1 species